AAUAAUUAACCAGCGCUUUGCUCUUUGGGGAUUACAUAGCUAACCGUCCAUAAUCCACAUGUGGUUGUUCUCUCUGCAAGUAAGUUCCAGCACGAUUUUGGAAACUGAGUAGAUUUUCUCCAUGAGCUCCUUGCUUACUCCUGGCUGAGUUCCCACCCGCCCCCAAUCUUGUGUGUGUUUAUAAAAAUGUAGACAACUUAAUAUGAAGCCAUGUAUUAAGUUAGUAGGGAGGGAGCUGUGCACUCACAAUCCAGAUGCAUUAAAAAAGCUAAACACAGGAGACAUGUGGAUCCUCUAACCUGCAGUUCCUUCCCAACUCAGAAACUACUUCACUAAGAGGUAAGCAUUUUAAUUUAUCUCGUUGGUGGAGAAACAGAGUAAGCUGUCGUGUGGUUUUGUAAUCUUUAAUCGAUAUAAUUCUUAAACCAUGCCUUUGUAUGAACACCAAUAUUAACUUUCAUCCAACAGCCUUUCCUGACAGCUAAAAUAUUUGCUGUCACUGGUUCAGCUCUGAAUUCUCAGAUCAGCCACGGCUGAUCCCCAGUGCCUUGCCCCAGCCCCAGGACAGGCGCACCAGUAGAGCUGUGGCUGGCUGGUGAGGUAUCAACCACCCCAGGAGUCUGAAUCCUGGAGAUGAAUGGAGAAGUGGCAAGGUUAGAGCCCCAGAAGAAGGUUGGGAUAUAAAUACAAGGAAAUGCUUAAAAUGCAGUGGUGGAAAUCUGAAAACAUGGGUCUUGGGUUAUCACUGGGAAAAGUAAAGCAUAAUAAAUCCAGGCCAAAUUAAAAGUAAGGGAUUUCUAAAUUAAAAACAGUGCAUGUUACGAAAGGCCCGGGCAUGCACGUUUUUAAGGAAAAACAACAGUAUUAAGCAUUCCUGAUAUUUGUUGAGGCAGAAAAAAAUAUUUCAGGUCAAGGGAAGCCCAAAAGCAAAAGGGGCAAGACUGUAUCAGCAUCUUCCCAGCCUGUUAGGAAGGACGAGGGGGAUGGUGCUGUGGUAUUCUUCCUUGCUAAUGGUAGCUAUCAGUGGGAUAAAGUACAGGAACCGUGAAAGCAACUAUUUAAAAUGUAUGAAUCAAUGUGCUAUUAUACUCAGGGUCUUAGUAUGCUUUUUGUCACGAUAAUGAAAUACCUGAGGAGAUUAACUGAUAAAGAGAAAUGUGAAUUUUGGCUCAUGGCUCUCUAGCUGAUGAGGGAUCCUCACGCUACGGAAUUCUGAAGAGGGCAUCACAUGAAGGUGGUGUGGGGAAGACACCUACACCAUAAGCCAGAAAGCAAAGAGAAACAUGAGCAGGGUCCUCGUGAUCCCAUUCAGGGGCAUCACCCGGUGGUUCUCUUACAAAGUCACACACACCUCCCCUGGUCUCCACACCUCCCAGCAGCUCCACCCUGGGAACUAAGUUUUAGAAAUUCUGGCAGGAAAUCUGAUCCAAACCGUGAGACCUGGGUCACAAUUUCAGGCCGUUUUCAUCAUUUUUACUAGAAAGCCUAGACCUUUUAGCGAGGACCCUCCUCACAGCUAGCCAGUCUUCACACAUCCCUGCACAGUCCCUAAGCUACUGCCUGGCUAUAGGUUUCCUAUUGUAGAGAUUUCAUUAUAAUGGAAUCAAACCAUCUGUCAUAUCCUGAACUGCUUUGCCUUCCUUGUCACAAUGUCCUCAAGCCUCAACCACAGGUGGCGAGUAUCAGUAUGCCACGUUUUAUAUUGCCUUUAACCCUUCUAAGAAUGGCGUAGGCGUACGCACUGAAAGUGUGAAAAAUCAAAGAAUCGUCACAGGAACACGAUGAUAUAUACACGCCGGGCAUUGAAACAAUUCGGAUACAAGCCACACAAUCACGUGGAGGAAAAGGGAGCUUAUUCACAAGCAGUCUUUCGGUUUUCAGAUCAAGCAAAAUGAAAGGACGUGAAAAGAAUGCGUCUGGAGUAAAGAAUACGUGCGUGUCCCUGUGGCUGUCCCCAAGCAUAUGUGACAAGAGAUGCAGGGUUAGAGCAACUGUCUUGUUGGCUACCAGCAAACGAGCAAGCAGGAGCCAACGAAAUCAGACAGCCAGCAGGUGCGCUAGGAGUCCUCACCGCAGGGCUGAGACUCUGCCAAUCAACCUGUGCCUCCCAUUGCCAGCGACUAGGGCGUGGCUACAAUCCUUUCGCUGAAAAUGAGCGUUCGUAAGCGAUGAUAAAUAGCCUUAUAUGUGCGCAUCUGGAUGCCGGGUCCUAACACACGGGGAGGGUGUACCACCCAGAAAUAACUCCAAAGUGAAAAUAGAAGGCAGAGACGCAAAGUGAACUCAAAGCUUUGUUUAUCAACAGGAAAGGCGUGGCUGUGACGGGGAGAUGGCGUGCGUGAGGCUGAAUCGAGAUUCCCGAGCAGGCACGCCUGUGUCGGUAAAGGACACCUGACCGUGUUCUUGAAUUCCGCCACUGUAAUCACUUUCAUGGUCAUCUCUUGAUGGACGUCUAGGCUGGCUCCGUUCCCUGGCCAUCCUGAAUAUAUGCAGCAAUAAAGAAGGCUACAUGUUUAAUCAUAAACACUGAGCAAGCAUGGCGGCGGUGUGCUGAAUUAUGGUCCUUCAGAUAUCCGAGUCAUCUUAUUCUUAUUGAAAGAAUACCUGUCUUGCCCAGUAGCACUGGGGCAGAGUGACCUUGGCUGUCCCCACUGUGACUCCAGCAGCUAACACAUGUAUGUACCAGAUGAAUUUGCUGACUGAAGCGGCGAGGAGGAUUUCCGUGAAGUUUUCUUGCUUACAAAGCCUUCCGGUGAGUGCAUACGAAUUAGUUUUCACUGAGGUGUGUGCGCUGUUGAUGAAAGCCCACGCUGCAUCCCAGCUCUCUGACACACUUGAGAGCCAGCUUGUUUUCCCAGCACAUUCCUCCGAGUCAGCUAAUGCUCAGGUAUUUGUGUGGAAACAGCUCCUAAUCUUCCCUAACACGGGCCAGAGAGCAGCUGAGGCAGCUCUUCUGACAUACGGGGAGCUCUGAUCCUGUCAGUAACUCUCCCUUCUUCAGCAAGUCUCUCCAAAGCAAAACACCGUUUUCCUGUCGCAAUGAAGCACCGUCUCCUGCCUAAGAAGGCUCAAUUGUCUUUCCGUUCUUUCAGCAAGCAGGGACCCUCCUGUCCAAUUGAAAUCAGAGACGUGGAUGUCAAUGUGUCUCCUUUUAUGUAGACGUGUAGCUGUCAGAUCAGGGCUCAAAGGCUUGCCUUUAAUGAAAACAAGUCAUUUUCAUCAGUGUGACUGCAGAUUUUAUAUGAAUACUGAUACCUCGAUCAAAUGAUUGGCAUUUCCGUUUGUCAAGCUCCUGCGGUCUUCACAGUGAUUCGCUCUGCUAUACACACAUCAAGGCCUCUGCUCUCUACUCUCCAGUCCUGCCCCUUCUGGUACGGCUCCUAUGCCAAAAACCUCACAGCAGAUUUUCAAGAUCUGUGCUUGGGAUGUUUUAUCUGACUAAAACCAUUAUAACUUUUUUUAUAUAACUUAAGGGCCAAUGUUUACAAAUUGGAAAUCACCACAUAAAGUAUUUGGACGAGGCUUGCAGAUGUAACUCAGUUGGUAGAUACUUCCCUGGCGUUCACACAGCUCUGGCUCUGAUUCUCAACCCUGCACAAACGGGGAGUGUGGCCCAUGCCUGUGUUCCAAGCACUUGGGAGGUAGAGGCCAGAGGAACAGAAAUUCCAUGUAUCCUUGGCGAUGUAGUGAAUUCAGUGCCAGCCUGAGCUACAUGAAUCCCUGUCUCAAAAUACGAAAGAAAAGGAAGAAGUCCUAGUUGUCUUUUGCUAGCCAGACUGAAUAGAUAGCGUCCCUGAAAGCAAACAUCCUAGCAUAGCCACACAGAUAGUCCCAGUCACCCUUCUUGUCCUCUAGUGGCACAGCCUUGCCUGUGCUCCUCUUGAGUGUGGACUGAAUUCUUUCUCUCCCUCUGUCCCUCUCUCCCUCUGUCCCUCCAUCCCUCUGUC
rnacentral:sRNA from 1 species